AAUGUUCCCAACACAAAGAAGUGAUAAAUAUUUUAGGUGAUGGACAUCCUAAAAUACCUGGGUUGAUCAUUAUACAUGGUAUGCAUAUACAGAAAUAUCACAUAAAUUUGUAUAAGUUUAUAG